GUAGUAUUCCCUUCGUCCCAAAAUUCUUGUCUUACAUUUGUUUAGAUACAGAUGUAUCUAACACUAAAAUGUAACUAGAUAAAUCCAUAUUUAGACAAAUUUAAGACAAGAAUUUUGGGACAGAGGGAGUACAAA
rfam:Triticum aestivum genome assembly, contig: Triticum_aestivum_CS42_TGACv1_scaffold_594083_7BS